rnacentral:lncRNA from 12 species
AGGACAUUGAAAGCUGCAGGGAUUAGGAGUGACUGUAGUUGUUUUGCCUUUGUUGACCUGGUUCUCUUCAGUUAUUUCCAGCCUACAUGAUGAAAGUCCCAAGCUCUGUUUGCAGAGUCCUCUGACGGGGAACCACUUGCUGGUGGG